rnacentral:sRNA from 1 species
GCAGGGCAUGGUGGCGCAUACCUGUAAUCCCAGUGGCUCAGGAGGCUGAGACAGGAGGAUCGUGAGUUCCAAGCCAGCCUCAGCAAUGGAGAGGCACUAAGCCACUCAGUGAGACCUGUCUCUA